GACGAACGCUGGCGGCGUGCUUAACACAUGCAAGUCGAACGAUGAAGCCGGAGCUUGCUCUGGUGAAUUAGUGGCGAACGGGUGAGUAACACGUGAGUAACCUGCCCUUGACUCUGGGAUAACUGCGGGAAACUGUAGCUAAUACCGGAUACGACCCUCGGAGGCAUCUCCUGGGGGUGGAAAGAAUUUCGGUCAAGGAUGGACUCGCGGCCUUUCAGCUAGUUGGUGAGGUAAAGGCUCACCAAGGCGACGACGGGUAGCCGGCCUGAGAGGGUGACCGGCCACACUGGGACUGAGACACGGCCCAGACUCCUACGGGAGGCAGCAGUGGGGAAUAUUGCACAAUGGGCGCAAGCCUGAUGCAGCAACGCCGCGUGAGGGAUGACGGCCUUCGGGUUGUAAACCUCUUUUAGCAGGGAAGAAGCGAAAGUGGCGGUACCUGCAGAAAAAGCACCGGCUAACUACGUGCCAGCCGCCGCGGUAA
rnacentral:rRNA from 1 species